AGAAGCCUGAAACAUGUCAACAAAAAAAUUAAAUAGAAGAAAACGUUCACCUAACUGCAACCAAAUCCCAAAAUAACAUUAGUUUUCUUCACAGAAACAGUGCUCCUGGCGGCUGACCAGCCAGGAGAUAGCCCUCCCUCCGAGAACACCUCUCGCCAUGACGUCUAUUCAUACUGGACGUCCCAGAUCUGACCCUUGACUUACCAUAUUUUAUCCCAUCCCCACCACCUUUUUAAUAGGGCUUUAAGCCGAAGACAUUUUUAUCUUUUCAAGUUUAAUCCAGUACAUAUUUAUUAAAACUAUAUUACAUAUUUGGCAAAAAAAACAAUUCAUUCCAUCGUAAUUUGAAUCAAAAUCUAACAAUUUACAGCGAAUUAUAAUAUAAAAAUUUCAGAAAAAAACAAAGAAUUGCCAAUAAAAAUCAAUUUUCGAAAGUAUUCUUUUCUUUUUGUACUUUUAGGGCUUAACGGCGGGCACCCAGAGUGUAGAACCUUGACGGCAGCUUGUGACUAAGGCUUUUUCCCAAAACAUGAGGACGAACAAAGGAAUGUAGGUCGAUACCACAUUAAAUCGACGAUCUAAACAAUGCCUGGUAACCUAACCUUGAAUUGAGCUCAGUUCAAUGUCGCGUACCUGCAUACCAACACAAAGAAAAACCGCGGAAUUUAAUUAUGUAGCUUAGUCGUCCGUCUGUCUGUCCGGAGUUAAAUAAGUUUCAGUGUCAAUUGGGAAUGAUACCAAGCCACGCUGGAGCAGCAAUGGCGUAAACUCUGCGCCUCCCUCGAUGGAUUGGAUGGGCGAUGGUGUGGCUUGUAGGCUCCAAUUCUUCAUGAAUUUUUAGGUUUAAGAUUUAUAUUCAUUGCUUUAGAAUUUUAGUCAAUUGUUUGGGUUUUUUUUCAAUAUUGUUAAAUUGUUUUCAAACUUUGUUUAAUUUUAAAAAAAGUUCAAUUUUCUUUUAAUUUUCAAUUUUUUGAAAACUAUUUGUUUUGUUAUAAAUUUCCUUUCAAUU